CAGCAGCCGCGGUAAAACGUAGGUGGCAAGCGUUGUCCGGAAUUAUCGGGCGUAAAGCGUGCGCAGGCGGUUUUGUAAGACAGGCGUGAAAUCCCCGGGCUCAACCUGGGAAUGGCGCUUGUGACUGCAAAGCUAGAGUGCGGCAGAGGGGGAUGGAAUUCCGCGUGUAGCAGUGAAAUGCGUAGAUAUGCGGAGGAACACCGAUGGCGAAGGCAAUCCCCUGGGCCUGCACUGACGCUCAUGCACGAAAGCGUGGGGAGCAAACAGGAUUAGAUACCCGAGUAGUCCCUGUCUCUUAUAC
rnacentral:rRNA from 1 species